rnacentral:lncRNA from 1 species
ACAUGCUUAUUUCAUUAUUAUUAUCCAAAAUUAUGGUAGGGUCACAUGAAAUACACACCCGAGCCCCUUUAAUCUAAUUGACAUAGUUCAACAAUCCAAUUUCUAUACUGUGACAUAAUCACAUUCAGCUAUAACUAAUUCGAGUAAACACGAAUAUAUAACCUAGCAAGCAAAUUCAAAACUACGGAGAAUAAUUACAGAAACAACAGGGUGGCAUCACCAAAAAAAUAAUUAAUUGCAUAAAACGAGUAAAGGAUGAAAGAGUCGAACCUCAAUAUAGUCGGGAAAUUGAUUGUUUCACUACUUUGAACUCGAGAUGUAACGAAUCGCAGACGGGAACCCAAAUUGGCACCAAAAAUCUAAAACCGGCAAUGAACUCGAAUCAACCUCGGCUAAACACCGUUCCUAUACUCGAAUAACCAAAAAUCAGAACCAAAUGAUGAAGCAGAAACAUCUUCGUCGACAGAUUCAACCUUCAAACGGAACUCCGAAUCAAAUAUUUCAAACCAACUCCAUCGUCGAAAUCAAAUUUAACAGAAGAAACCCAAUGUGUUUUUUUUUUUGUAUUUUUUUUUUGGAUUUUAAAAUCUCAUAGUACUAAUUGUUAUAUUUAAACUAAGAACUAAAUAUGAAACAGAAUGUUCGAAAAUCCCAAAAAAGAACCAAAACAAAACAAAAAACGUUUUCCUCCUUCUUCAAAUUUAAAAAUGAUUUGCUAUUGUUCUCCAAAUUUUCCCUUAAUCAUGAUAUCUCUACAAGGUUUUGAAGGUUUUUAACUUACUUCAGCAUCCAACGAUCAAUGUUCUGCAAGCUGACUUUUGACCGGGGAAAUGGACAACAACAAGAAACUAAACCGGAACCAAUAUAUGGUAACAAGAAAAUGGGACGACGACAUCGACCACUUCUCAAACCUCAAUGAUUAGAUUACUUUGAAUAUUCGAACAACCAAACAUAUACAAGGCUUCAAAUCCAACAUCCAGUCGAGAAAAUAGCAACAAUUCAAACCCGGAAUCGCAAAACUCGACUCGAAAUCGCACUCGAAACCACUCCGGACAGCGGCGAUUUCAAUAACCUCUGCUUGACUCCAUAGUUUAAGCUUGUCUCGUUCUCCUCACUGUUUUCAGAGAUCCUCCUCUAUUUUUCUGUUGUGUGUGUGUGUGAUGGCGUGAGCUGCUAUGGAGGGUCGUCGUUGUGGAGGAGAAGGGGAUGGUUUUUGGGUGAGUUUGGUGAAGGGUCGUGUGAAGACGAUGAGGUCAGGGGGUGGGGUAUGGUUUGGUUUUUUCGUUCUUUUCGCUGAAGAAGUUUCAGAACGAGGGGGGUUUGAAGAAGAAGACACCGGGGGGG